rnacentral:rRNA from 1 species
GACAGUUGAGUCAGAGGUACAAGCCCAGGGCUCAACCUGGGAACUGCCUUUGAUACUGGCUGUCUGGAGUUCGGGAGAGGUGAGUGGAAUGCCGAGUGUAGAGGUGAAAUUCGUAGAUAUUCGGCGGAACACCAGUGGCGAAGGCGACUCACUGGCCCGAUACUGACGCUGAGGCGCGAAAGCGUGGGGAGCAAACAG